CGUCAAAGUCAUUCUCCAUCCAGCUUUGUUCCAUUGCUGGUCAGGAACUGCGUUCCUUUGGAGGAGGAGAGGCGCUCUGCUUUUUAGAGUUUCCAGCUUUUCUGUUCUGUUUUUUCCCCAUCUUUGUGGUUUUAUCUACUUUUGGUCUUUGAUGAUGGUGAUGUACAGAUGGGUUUUUGGUGUGGAUGUCCUUUCUGUUUGUUAGUUUUCCGUCUAACAGACAGGACCCUCAGCUGCAGGUCUGUUGGAAUACCCUGCCGUGUGAGGUGUCAGUGUGCCCCUGCUGGGGGGUGCCUCCCAGUUAGGCUGCUCGGGGGUCAGAGGUCAGGGGCCCACUUGAGGAGGCAGUCUGCCCGUUCUCAGAUCUCCAGCUGCGUGCUGGGAGAACCACUGCUCUCUUCAAAGCUGUCAGACAGGGACAUUUAUGUCUGCAGAGGUUACUGCUGUCUUUUUGUUUGUCUGUGCCCUGCCCCCAGAGGUGGAGCCUACAGAGGCAGGCAGGCCUCCUUGAGCUGUGGUGGGCUCCACCCAGUUCGAGCUUCCCAGCUGCUUUGUUUACCUAAUCAAGCCUGGGCAAUGGCGGGCGCCCCUCCCCCAGCCUCGCUGCCGCCUUGCAGUUUGAUCUCAGACUGCCGUGCUAGCAAUCAGCGAGACUCCGUGGGCAUAGGACCCUCCGAGCCAGGUGUGGGAUAUAAUCUCGUGAUGCGCCGUUUUUUUAAGCUGGUCCGAAAAGCGCAAUAUUCGGGUGGGAGUGACCCGAUUUUCCAGAGAUCAUUGCGAUGAAGCCCAAGCUAGUUUACCCGCUGGGGGCAUGUAAUGGACAAUUGAGAUGCGCUAGCCACAAGCCAGUAGGAGGAGCCACAGACAAGUUUUCAGAGGAAGUGAUCGAGAAAGCUUGCUGGAUUUUCCUUCCAGAUUGGCGGUCUCUGCCUGCUCCAGCCCACUCACCAGCAACUACUGAGAAACUCCAGUUACAGAUUUCAAACCCACUGCUUGCCUGGCAUUGGAAAGUCCCAUCUUAACCUGCAGGUCCACAGGAGGAAGAUACUUGCCUUGUCUCAGAUGAGACUUUGGACUUUUGAGUUAAUGCUGGAAUGAGUUAAAACUUUGGAAUACUAUUGAGAAGGGGUGAUUGUAUUUUGCAACGUGAGAAGGACAUGAGAUUUGAAGAGGCCAGAAACAGAAUGAUAUGGCUUGUAUCUUUGUCCCCUCCCAAAUCUCAUGUCAAAUUGUAAUCUCCAACGUUGGAGGUGGGGUUUGGUGGGAAGUGAUUGGAUAAUGGGGGUAGAUCCUUCAUGAAUGAUUUAGCACCACCCCCUUGGUACCAUUCUCAUGACAAAGUUCUCAUGAGAUCUGAUUGUAUAAAAGUGUGUAGCACUUCCCCUGGCCCUUUAUCCUGCUCUGGCCAUGUGAGAUGAGCCUGCUUCUCCUUUGCCUUCCACCAUGAUUGUAAGUUUCCUGAGGCCUCCCUAGAAGCUAAGCGGAUGGCCAGCAUCAUGCUUCCUAUACAGCCUGCACAACCAUGAGCAAA